ACUGAAGAUGCUAACGCCCAUUAUAUUCUUACAAUUACUAUUCUAUACUACUGGUAUUAGUGCUAUUACCAAAGAAAAACACUUAUUGAGUGUUUAAUAUGUUUCAAGCACUGUGCUAUCCACUUAAUUUCUAUCAUAUAUCUAUAAAUUAUUAUUGUAUUGUUAUCCCUAACAAUAUCACCUCCUAUGCACCUGAUUUCUCUGUCCCCUCACACCCGCUUGCUUCCAUUGCUCCCACCAUGGCAGUGCCCAUCUGCUCCUCCCCGCUCACUCAGGUCUGCUGCUCGGGACGCCUUUGUGUCCCCAGGUGCUGAUGGAGCUCCAGGAGCUGUCCGUGGUCCUGAAACUAUGCCGGCCGAGGCUCCGGCUGUGACUGGGCGAAUGAGCGCUGUCCGUAGUGCUGAAGAGGUUCCUGGGCCCCGGCAGUGGCGGCAGCGGUGCCUGGGAGGCCGGCAGCCGGAAGACCACCAGAGUCUCGUUCUGCUGCCAGCCUGGAGUGCAGUGGCACGAUCUCAGCUCACUGUAACCUCUGCGUCCCAGGUUCAAGAGAUUCUUCUGACUCAGCCUCCCGAGUAGCUGAGACUACGGGUCUCCCAAAGUGUUAGGAUUACAGGCUCGAGUCACCGCGCCCGACGAGGCUCUGCUCCUUCUGCACGAUGGCCCUGAACUCUUUGAGGUAGAGCCCGGCGCACCAGAUUCUACGGCAGCCUCUCCAAGCCGCCCACCCGCCUGUGCCCUGUGUGCGCGGGUGGCGGGGAACUUGAAGGAGCGGGAUCCUAGCAGCCCAGCGUUUGGCUUGCUUCCUUCUCCCCCGGACCUUACUUCCCUCCCGCCGCUGGCGCCACGUCACCUCCACCCUGGCCUUCACACACCCACCGUGGGGUGGUGCCAAGACACAGGGCAGCCCCUCCUGUCUUGGCGUCCAGAGGAGGCUCUUACUCGCCAGAUAUAGAGAAGAGGGAGAAAGCCAGCAAGACGUUCGGGUGUGGGAGGGAAGCAGUAUAAAUGCAGGGACUGUAGAAGGAUGGUGAAUCUGACUGGCGAGACGCAAAAGUGAGUGAGUGAGUGAGUGAAAAGGAAGCAGCCAUACUGGGAAGGUGCGGUCAGGCCGGUAGGAGAAGAGAAACAGAUAAGAAAGAAAGAGAAGGGGAGAGGCUGGCAGAGAGGAAGCGGAAAAAACGAAGGUGAGGCAAAGGGAGAGACAAACGUGCUGGAGGAGAGAAAGGUGUGAGACCCUGAAGUGGUGAAUUCUUUUCCCUGGCCCAGCCCUUCCAGAGGCCCGGGUCCAUCUAGAGACCUGCUGAGAAGAGGCCACACUGGCCUGUUUUGCUCCCAACAAUUUUAUUCUGCCAGGGAAUUCCCUAAAACUUAAGGAUCCUGGAGCUCUAAGGAACCCUAGAGAACACCUAGUGCCGCUCCUUCCUUCAGCCAUGAGGAAAGUUGGGAUGGGAAGAUUGUUCAUGCUGGUUUUCUCUGGGAAUGAGACCUCGGGACAGUUUUGGCAGUUCCUACUAGGAACACAAACUAAAUAAACCAGGCCCUCUGUGGAAAGGAUAACACUUCUAGAAACUUCUGAAUAGAUCAUUCUAUCUGACAAACAUUUACGAACUGCACACAAUUACCAAACAUUAGGCUAGAUGGCAGUAAGAUAAGGAUUAGAAGGAGAAAAUCUUUGGCUUCUUGAAGUUUAUUAAUAAGUGGGUGAAAUGGGUCAUAAUUUUGAUGUAUGGUGGUGGUGGCAGUGAUAAGGUAGAGAUUUGCCCAGAGUGCUGUAGAAGCCAGCAGCUGGGAGAUCCAGGAAUGCUUCUUGGAGGAAGUAACCCUUGAGGUGGCGAGGGUUUUCCAAGAAGGGAGAGGAUAGCAUGAGCAAAAGCUUAGAGAUAUUAAUAAUUGUGGACUGAUAAUCAUGGCCUUGUGCGCAUGCCUUGUCAUGCCAAUCCGUUAGGGAAAAUGUGAUACAUAUACACCAUGGAAUAUUAUGCAGCUAUCAAAAACACUGAGUUCAUGCCCUUUGUAGGGACAUGGAUGAAUCUGGAGAACAUUAUUCUCAGCAAACUGACACAAGAACAGAAAAUGAAAUACCGCAUGUUCUCACUCAUAGGCGGGUGAUGAAUGGUGAGAACACAUGGACACAGGGAGGGGAGCACUACACACUGGGGUCUAUUGGGGGGAAUAGGGGAGGGACAGUGUGGGGCGGGGGGAGCUGGGUAGGGAUAGCAUGGGGAGAAAUGCCAGAUGAGGGUGAAGGGGAGGAAGGCAGCAAAUCACACUGCCACGUGUGUACCUAUGCAACUAUCUUGCAUGUUCUGCACAUGUACCCCAAAACCUAAAAUGCAAUUAAAAAAAAAAAAAAGAUUUCGAGCCUUUUGUGCUCGCCUCUCCCUCCAGGACCUAUUGCGCGUGCCGCUCCCUACCCCUCCCCUAACCCGCAGUUGCCAGUAGCUACCUUGUGCCAGUACCUUGCCGCGCCAAUCCGUUAAGGUCCCAGGUCCUUAGUGCGUGAGCCUCUCCCUACAGUACCCCUUGCGCGCGCCGCCCCUUCCGUUGCCAUCAGGUGCCUUAUUGCGCGAACCUUGCCGGCUAAACCGUUAACGGCUGGCGUCCUUUGUGCGCCCACCUCUCCUUCCGGUACCUAUCAGGCGCCCCUUCUACCCCGCGCCCUCCCCCGCAGCCACUGCUCGCAGGUGCCUCAAGAGCAUAUUUUGCUCCCCACCCCCCACCCCACUUCGCAUUGCCAGCGGGUGCCUGGCGCGCAUACCUUGUCGCGGGAAUCCCAUAAGGUCACUCUUCUGGUGCGGAUCCGUCACUCUCGCCGGUCUUUGUAUGCGCCUCACUCGCUCAGGUUUGAAUGAUGCGUUUCCUGGCAACAGGAGAAUGCUCCCUUAGCCUUUGGCCGAGUUGGCAGCAGACAGGAGGACGCUCAGAGCCCAGCUCUAGAGAGCUCAAGAAUCCGAAAAUACCCCACUGCUCCCAGGAGCGGUUACCUGGGCACUCCGUACACUUUAUCCCUGUCCCAGUUCCGUCCCAGGGCCGAGGACCCGCCAGUAGGACUCAGUUGCCUUGAGCCUGCUGCCCGCAUCCCUCACUUCACUUUGCUUGUGGGGUCUCUCUGUUGCUCCCGCCCCUGGACGGAGUGGCAAGCCUUCCUACAAGUACCCAGGCACUUGGAAUCAGCCUGGUGUAGAAACAACUUCAAGGAUUUCUGUAUCCUACAAGCCCUGCGCUCCGACCGGGGAUCCUGGUUUCAAUUUGAGGCACAGGUAUGGCAGCAAGCCAGUGC
rnacentral:lncRNA from 1 species